rnacentral:SRP_RNA from 1 species
GCCGGGUGCAUUGUCACGUGCCUGUAGUCCCAGCUACUCAGGAGGCUGAGGUGGGAGGAUCGCUUGACCCCAGGAGUUCUGGGCUGUAGUGCGCUAUGCCAAUCGGGUGUCCGCACUAAGUUCGGCAUCAAUAUGGUGACCUCCGGGAGCUGGGGACCACCAGGUUGUCUAAGGAGGAGUGAACUGGCCCAGGUUGGAAACGGAGCAGGUCAAAACUCCCCUGCUGAUCAGUACUGGGAUUGUGCCUGUGAAUAGCCACUGCACUCCAGCCUGGGCUAGUGAGUCCCCUUUCUUA